rnacentral:rRNA from 1 species
CGGAGUAGAAAUACUUAGUGGCGGACGGGUGAGUAACGCGUGAGAAUCUGCCUUCAGGACGGAGACAACAGUUGGAAACGACUGCUAAGCCCCGAUGAACCGAAAGGGAAAAUAUUUAUAGCCUGAAGAUGAGCUCGCGUCCGAUUAGCUAGUUGGGGGGGUAAAGGCCCACCAAGGCGACGAUCGGUAGCUGGUCUGAGAGGACGAUCAGCCACACUGGGACUGAGACACGGCCCAGACUUCUACGGGAGGCAGCAGUGGGGAAUUUUCCGCAAUGGGCGAAAGCCUGACGGAGCAAGACCGCGUGGGGGAAGAAGGCUCUUGGGUUGUAAACCCCUUUUCUCUGGGAAGAAAGUUGUGAAAGCAACCUGACGGUACCAGAGGAAUCAGCAUCGGCUAACUCCGUGCCAGCAGCCGCGGUAAGACGGAGGAUGCAAGCGUUAUCCGGAAUGAUUGGGCGUAAAGCGUCCGCAGGUGGCAGUUCAAGUCUGCUGUCAAAGACCGGGGCUUAACUUCGGAAAGGCAGUGGAAACUGAACAGCUAGAGUAUGGUAGGGGCAGAGGGAAUUCCUGGUGUAGCGGUGAAAUGCGUAGAGAUCAGGAAGAACAUCGGUGGCGAAGGCGCUCUGCUGGAC